rnacentral:rRNA from 1 species
AGAACGAACGCUGGCGGCAUGCCUAACACAUGCAAGUCGAACGAGACCUUCGGGUCUAGUGGCGCACGGGUGCGUAACGCGUGGGAACCUGCCUUUAGGUUCGGAAUAACUUCCCGAAAGGGAUGCUAAUACCGAAUAAUGUCUUCGGACCAAAGAUUUAUCGCCUUUAGAUGGGCCCGCGUAGGAUUAGCUUGUUGGUGGGGUAAUGGCCUACCAAGGCGACGAUCCUUAGCUGGUCUGAGAGGAUGAUCAGCCACACUGGGACUGAGACACGGCCCAGACUCCUACGGGAGGCAGCAGUGGGGAAUAUUGGACAAUGGGCGAAAGCCUGAUCCAGCAAUGCCGCGUGAGUGAUGAAGGCCUUAGGGUUGUAAAGCUCUUUACCAGGGAUGAUAAUGACAGUACCUGGAGAAUAAGCUCCGGACUAACUCCGCGCCAGCAGCCGC